AUACGCUAUGGCCCAACCGACCCUAAAUGGAGUGUGGCCCCUUUUCGACUUCCCUCUCCCACUCGAUCCCUCGCCACUGCUGCGGCGAUAUUGGCGACGCUCGGGCAGACAGGUGAUCUUCGCAACGCUUAGACUCCGGCAGCGCUCUCCAAGGCCUGCAAUGUUGGACUUUGGAUUAUCAAAGGGCUUAGAUGUAGCUACAUAUUAGUCACAGGAGGCUGGUGAUUUAACUUGAAAGCAAUGGUUGUUACAUUCCACAAUCCCAGUGCAGCUUCUAGCCUCGGGAAACUUAAUGAUUGCCUUCUUAAACCCGCAGUUAUAUGAAGGUUAUCAAGCUUCAAAGGAUGGCAUUGCUAUGUACAUCGAGCGCACUAGAUGCAGCUCCAUCGUCGGAUCAUAUCAAUGUAGCUAGGUGGUACAACAAUCACAUUGAUCCUCUGUUUAAGUUGUGGUAUGUGCUUGAACUUGGUUUAGUUUAUUUGAACACAGGAGUCAUACGGGUCAUGCUGUUUGACCUGUAUGAUCUGAUAGUAGUGGCAUCUCUGAGGAAGACAAGGCUGCGAAAAUUAAGACAUCUGCGACUGAGGAAGCCUCGUCCUUUGCUGCUGUUAUUGACAAGGUGAUUUUGAAACUCUUAAUGGCUUGUGGUGCACAAAAUUCCUCAAAGGAUAUUAUAUAUAUAUAUAUAUAUAUAUAUAUAUAUAUAUAUAUAUAUAUAUAUAUAUAUAUAUAUAUAUAUAUAUAUAUUCAUUGAAUUUAAAAUUUUAUUUGAAGGAUUGGUUUGGCACGUAGAUAUAUUCUUUGCAAAACAAAUUACACAAAUAUUUAACAAUCUCUUGUGGAAUCCAAUGUUCCAUGGGAAUAGUGGUGGUAGAUAAAUUGAUGAUUUAUUUAUUUUUUUAUUUUUAAUCACAAAGUUACAAAUUCAUGUUUGGAGGCAGCUGAAGAGCGUGGAUCAUCGGCAAAGAAGAAAUAAGGCGAGUUUGAUACAUGUUUUUUGAGUAUUUCAUUCUAUAGUUGUUGAUCGGGUCUCUGUGUUUCAAGAUAUGUAUCCUAAUCAACAACAAUGUUUGUAAUCUUCUAGUUGUACGAACAUGGCACGAACCUACGCUCUUUCAGUUGUUUUAUUGUCAUCACAAACUUAACAUUCUUAUGGACAGCUGGAGAGUCUGCGGCACUUUAAUAAAGGACCCCUUACCAUGA